rnacentral:rRNA from 1 species
UACGAAGGGGACUAGCGUUGUUCGGAAUUACUGGGCGUAAAGCGCACGUAGGCGGAUUUGUUAGUCAGGGGUGAAAUCCCGGGGCUCAACCUCGGAACUGCCUUUGAUACUGCAAGUCUCGAGUCCGAUAGAGGUGGGUGGAAUUCCUAGUGUAGAGGUGAAAUUCGUAGAUAUUAGGAAGAACACCGGUGGCGAAGGCGGCCCACUGGACGGUAACUGACGCUGAGACGCGAAAGCGUGGGGAGCAAACAGG